rnacentral:rRNA from 1 species
GACGAACGCUGGCGGCAUGCUUAACACAUGCAAGUCGAACGGAAAGGCCCUGCUUUUGUGGGGUGCUCGAGUGGCGAACGGGUGAGUAACACGUGAGUAACCUGCCCUUGACUUUGGGAUAACUUCAGGAAACUGGGGCUAAUACCGGAUAGGAGCUCCUGCUGCAUGGUGGGGGUUGGAAAGUUUCGGCGGUUGGGGAUGGACUCGCGGCUUAUCAGCUUGUUGGUGGGGUAGUGGCUUACCAAGGCUUUGACGGGUAGCCGGCCUGAGAGGGUGACCGGCCACAUUGGGACUGAGAUACGGCCCAGACUCCUACGGGAGGCAGCAGUGGGGAAUAUUGCACAAUGGGCGGAAGCCUGAUGCAGCAACGCCGCGUGCGGGAUGACGGCCUUCGGGUUGUAAACCGCUUUCGCCUGUGACGAAGCGUGGGUGACGGUAAUGGGUAAAGAAGCACCGGCUAACUACGUG